rnacentral:rRNA from 1 species
CGCGUAUGCAAUCUACCCACUGCAGAGGGAUAGCCCGUGGAAACAUGGAUUAAUACCUCAUAAUACAGGGAGCCCACCUGGGCAUAUUGUUAAAGCUCCGGCGGCAGUGGAUGAGCAUGCGUCCCAUUAGCUAGUUGGUAAGAUAACGGCUUACCAAGGCAAUGAUGGGUAGGGGUUCUGAGAGGAUGAUCCCCCACGCUGGUACUGAGAUACGGACCAG